GGAGAGGUGGCCGAGUGGUUAAAGGCGUCAGACUGUAAAUCUGAUCUCAUUGAGUACGUUGGUUCGAAUCCAACCCUCUCCACCA
rnacentral:tRNA from 2 species